rnacentral:rRNA from 1 species
UACGUAGGGUGCAAGCGUUAAUCGGAAUUACUGGGCGUAAAGCGUGCGCAGGCGGUUAUGUAAGACAGGUGUGAAAUCCCACGGCUCACCCCGUGGAACUGCUUGGUAUACUGGUUGUCUUGAGCCUUCUAGGGGCGAGUGGAACAAAUGGUGGAGCGGUGAAAUGCGUAGAUAUCAUUUGGAACGCCAAUGGUGAAAACAACUCGCUGGGGAAGUGCUGACGCUGAGACACGAAAGCCAGGGGAGCGAACGGG